CAAAAGGCUAUCAUCUUUUUUUUAUUUCUCUUUCUUCUUCACCGAUUUUUACCCAAGGAAAUAGCCAUGGAAGCUUGACAAUUUCUGCAACUUCUAACCCUCACAAAUCAAGAAAAUCAAGAUUCGAGCUUAAAUCGAGAAAGUACGUGGUUAAGGACAAAAAGAGAAUAAUUAUCCGUUUUUGCAUUCGAGUGUCACAGAUGCUAGCUCGGGUUAGAGAUCGUCAGAGAUUCUAUCACACUAUCCAGCUAUUGAAGGGUAUAAAUGAUUUCAAGCACUUUAAAUCUAUGGCAUGUAUAGGAACUUAGUCAAUUCGAUAUGUGUCAUUUGAUUUGGCCAAAUGUAUUGGCUCAUAAUGAGAAUAUGAUUCUUUUUGUAUAUGGCCAUGUGAUGUGGCUCAUAUUGGUUAUUGGGUUGUAAACCUAUCCAUAUAUGUAUGCAUGUACUAAAAGGUUUCAUAGGGUGUGGUCAUGUGUGUUUGGUAUGGAUGAAUUGUGAAUGUGCCCUAGAUUACUUGAUGAUUUAAAAGUGACUAAAUUGGUCUAUGGAUAGACCUUAGCAUAA